UACGUAGGUGGCAAGCGUUGUCCGGAAUUAUUGGGCGUAAAGCGCGCGCAGGCGGCCUCUUAAGUCUGAUGUGAAAUCUUGCGGCUCAACCGCAAGCGGCCAUUGGAAACUGGGGGGCUUGAGUACAGGAAGAGGAGAGUGGAAUUCCACGUGUAGCGGUGAAAAUGCGUAGAUAUGUGGAGGAACACCAGUGGCGAAGGCGACUCUCUGGUCUGUAACUGACGCUGAGGCGCGAAAGCGUGGGGAGCAAACAGG
rnacentral:rRNA from 1 species